UCUUAGGGAUGAGCAUAGAAAGUGGCUCCUUGAGGUGGAAUCUACUCCUAGUGAAGAUGCUGUGAA
rnacentral:pre_miRNA from 1 species